CUUUUGUUAUCGGUGCGUCUU
rnacentral:siRNA from 1 species